rnacentral:rRNA from 1 species
CCUACGGGAGACUGCAGUGAGGAAUAUUGGUCAAUGGCCGUAAGGCUGAACCAGCCAAGUCGCGUGAAGGAAGAAGGAUCUAUGGUUUGUAAACUUCUUUUAUAGGGGAAUAAAGGUAUCCACGUGUGGAUCUUUGCAUGUACCCUAUGAAUAAGCAUCGGCUAACUCCGUGCCAGCAGCCGCGGUAAUACGGAGGAUGCGAGCGUUAUCCGGAUUUAUUGGGUUUAAAGGGUGCGUAGGUUGUUUUUUAAGUCAGCGGUGAAAGUUUGUGGCUCAACCAUAAAAUUGCCGUUGAAACUGGAAGACUUGAGUGUAUUGGAGGUAGGCGGAAUGCGUGGUGUAGCGGUGAAAUGCAUAGAUAUCACGCAGAACUCCGAUUGCGAAGGCAGCUUACUAAGCCAUAACUGACACUGAAGCACGAAAGCGUGGGGAUCAAACAGGAUUAGAUACCCUUGUAGUC